rnacentral:rRNA from 1 species
GGAUUAGAUACCCUGGUAGUCCACGCCGUAAACGAUGAGUGCUAGAUGUCGGGGGACAUAGUCCUUCGGUGUCGCAGCUAACGCAUUAAGCACUCCGCCUGGGGAGUACGGUCGCAAGAUUAAAACUCAAAGGAAUUGACGGGGGCCCGCACAAGCGGUGGAGCAUGUGGUUUAAUUCGACGCAACGCGAAGAACCUUACCAGCCCUUGACAUCCCGGUCGCGAUUUCCAGAGAUGGAUUUCUUCAGUUCGGCUGGACCGGUGACAGGUGCUGCAUGGCUGUCGUCAGCUCGUGCCG